ACACAUUUGCCUAACUUUACACUGAACUUGACGGUCGGAUACAUUCGCCUAACUUUGCACUGAACUAUCAGUCAGACAGCAGCCUUUUUUUUAACCCUGAAAUUCAUAGUAAACAUCUCCCUAAAUUUCCACCAAGCCAGCCUGUACUGGCUAUAAAAACUGUCAGGCUUUCUUUUGACCAACUAACAACAAAGAACAAAGCUGAGUGAAUUAUCAGACUUCUGGUAUAAGUUUUAUGUAGCGGUUGUGACAAUGUUGCCAGUGUUUGUUUCUGACCGUCUUGCCCCAGACAAUACCUUAGCAGGAAAUUCGCUAAAAAUUAACAUUAUACAUGUGUAGACCAAUCACUGCACAUUUCAUUUUUCAUUAAGUGUUGAGUAUUUGCCAUGUUGCUGAUGGCAGAGUCCCAGGACAAUUUUGACAAAUUGUUCCGAACAAUCAAAUCAACUAGUGGAAAGUUAGGCAAAUAUUUCCUGACCCUUAAUUUCUUGGUGGACAGUUAGGAAACUUUUUUCAUGACCGUUAACACCAAUGGAUAGUUAGGCAAAUCAUUUCGUGACCGUUAAUGCUGAGUUAGACAAACUGUAUGGUGAUCGUAAGUUCCCAAUGCUUUCGUGACGUUUAGUUCCCGUAUGGACAGAUAGACAAAGUGUUUCGUGACCGUAACAAACUAUAGUUUCGUGGGAAGCUGUAAAGGAAAGACUAACUGAAGUUCUGAAAUGUGAUGGUGAUUUCCGGGGCAAUCCUCGCCGCUGUCGGGCCCUACUUCUAGGCUGUAUUAUUCAACUACUAAAAUUAGGAGAAUGGUUCAUCGUUGAUCAUGGCGAGGAGUGAGCAUUUUGUGCAAUGGCAAAGUUGUGAUGUAUGGAACAGUGAAUUCAGACCCGUAGAAGACUGCAUUGUGAACCUAGAGCAUAUUCAGCAGUAGCAGGCCUUGUCAAACAGAGGAGAUAUGUAGCAAAAACAGAACGUUUUACCGCAUGACACUGAUCACGAGGGAAUCGAAGCAACAUACUGUUCCAAAAUUAAUGGCUGAUUGUUGACCUGAGCGAAAUGGCAGCGUGAGGGCAGGCAUAAAUACACUGUACCACAUGUGCAAGCUUCAGGCUACCUAGACAUGGAGAUGAGAGGCCCCUAAAACCUGCAUUAUCACACCGGGUACUUGUCUCACAAGAGAUUUAGUAGCAGCUGGAAAUCUUUAUUAUACACUCUGAAAUCCAUGGGCAGAAUCCAUGCAUUAGAGUGUUGUAGUCAAGACCAUUUGCAAGAUCAGACACAAGAGCACGCACAAGACCAGCACAAAGGAACGCUUUUGUU